rnacentral:rRNA from 1 species
AGAGUUUGAUCCUGGCUCAGAACGAACGCUGGCGGCGUGCCUAACACAUGCAAGUCGAGCGAGAAAGUCCGCAAGGAUGAGUAAAGCGGCGCACGGGUGCGUAACACGUGGGUAAUCUUCCUUGGAGCCCGGAAUAACUCCCCGAAAGGGGUGCUAAUGCCGGAUGAGACCACGGGAUCUCUGGAUCCUGAGGGAAAAGGCGGCCUCUGUAUACAAGCUGUCACUCCAAGAUGAGCCCGCGGCCCAUCAGCUAGUUGGCGGGGUAAUGGCCCACCAAGGCUACGACGGGUAGCUGGUCUGAGAGGACGAUCAGCCACACUGGAACUGAGACACGGUCCAGACUCCUACGGGAGGCAGCAGUGGGGAAUCUUGCGCAAUGGGCGAAAGCCUGACGCAGCAACGCCGCGUGUGUGAUGAAGGUCUUCGGAUCGUAAAGCACUGUCGGGAGGGACGAAUAAGGUGACGGCUAACAUCCGUCGCUGAUGACGGUACCUCCAAAGGAAGCACCGGCUAACUCUGUGCCAGCAGCCGCGGUAAUACAGAGGGUGCUAGCGUUGUUCGGAUUUAUUGGGCGUAAAGCGCGUGUAGGCGGCCAUGCAAGUUGGGUGUGAAAGCCCUCGGCUUAACCGAGGAAGUGCGCCCAAAACUACUUGGCUUGAGUACCGGAGAGGGUGGCGGAAUUCCCGGUGUAGAGGUGAAAUUCGUAGAUAUCGGGAGGAACACCAGUGGCGAAGGCGGCCACCUGGACGGAUACUGACGCUGAGACGCGAAAGCGUGGGGAGCAAACAGGAUUAGAUACCCUGGUAGUCCACGCUGUAAACGAUGAGCGCUAGGUGUUGUGGGUGUUGACCCCCGCAGUGCCGCAGCUAACGCAUUAAGCGCUCCGCCUGGGAAGUACGGCCGCAAGGCUAAAACUCAAAGGAAUUGAUGG